rfam:Pseudomonas knackmussii B13 complete genome
UUGUGAGUCGGUGGCGUUCUGAUAGCGCCGCCGCACUCCGCCGGGCUCGGGAUGGGCGAGGCGGAGGUCCACCUGAAAAAGGAA